UAGCUCAGUUGGUAGAGCAUGGUGUUUGCAAUGCCAGGGUUGUGGUUUCGAUUCCCAC
rnacentral:tRNA from 1 species